GGUGAUGUUGGUCCUCCUGGUCCUCCUGGUCCACCUGGUCCCGUGAUGACAGCUCAUGGAUUAAGACAGCUCUCAGGAACUGAUGAAAUGAAGGAAACGACUCAAAAGGGUGAAAAAGGAGACACGGGGGAGAGAGGAGUUCAAGGACCCCAAGGUGUAAAGG